GAGCCGCUCCGAGGGGCCCACCCGCGAGCAGCGGGGAAGGCGGGGACCCGGGCCCCGCGGGCCUGCAGCGCCCCCGCACCCGGUUCCACGCGCCCAGGGCCGCCCCCGCGGAGAGAGGGGGCGCGAGGGGCGCGCCUCUCGCUCGGACACCCUCUCCCAGCUCGCGCCCCAGGUAACUUAAACCCAAUUAUAAAUGGCUUUGGCUAUAAAGUGUUCUUGAAUGAAAACGUUUAGGAAGUAGGCCUGGAUUCAGAUGCUUCAGAGGCUCAAAGGAAACAGGAAUCGUGGCUAACCAAAUCCAGCCCAACUGCUUCCUUGUUCACAUGGGGAAAUCGAGGAAGGCCCGGGGAGAGGAAGGCCUGGGGAGAGGAAGUUACUUGCCCAAGUUGCCCAGUUAAUUAGCCACAGAACCCAUGUCCCCCAACUCUGAAACAAGUUCCAGUUAAAGUCUUCACUGAUAACUUUAAAUCCUCCACUAACCAAGGGAGUCAUCUUUGCAUUUGCACAGAGGAGAUGGGAAAAUCACAAAGCCCUUAAGGUCCAGAAGAAAUGAGUGUCACUACGUUGGGCUCCCAGGCUGUGCAACAAGCUGUGGACGGAGAUGUCCGGGCAGGGAGCCCGGUCCAGCUCCCCACCCAUCGCAUCAUGGAGUCAGCCGUCUCCUCUGGGGACUGCACCCUCUGGGUGCUGAGAAAUCCAAAUGGCUCUUUCUCAUGCAGCCGCCCCAAGUGGGCAGGAUGGCCCUUCUCUUGAUUUGUUUCCUGCUUACUUUGUGAGAGUCAAAGUGCAUCCUUCAGGACCAAAGUGGCCAAGGGGCCAGCAUGUUAUUUAGAGUGAUCAAAAUGGACCAUUUUCAACUUGGCCCUAUUUCAGCUCCAGAGCUGUGGUUUCCACUUGCUUUUACUUAUCUGUAUUUUCUAACAUUUCUUUAGCAAAUUUGUAUUACUUUGGCAAUUAGAAAAAAUGACCAGUAAUUUUUAUAAAAGGAUUUGUGUUUGAUUUCCUUUCAGAAAGGCACUUUCAUUUAUUAAAAGAUCACAAUGAGAAGUGAAAUUAAGUUGAUCUUUCUCUCUGGCAAGGAUGUGUGGGGAGGAAUGGGGAGGUGAAUGCUGGGAGCAGAAGCCACAGCUGCAGAGCACUGCAGUGAGUGAAGGCUAGAUCAGGAGACUGGACCAGGAGGCUGGACCAAUUGGCUCUGUGGUCCUAGGCAAGUCACUCAGUGUCUCUGGGUUUCUAUUGCUAGAUGUUUGGUUUCAUUAUUUCUGGAGUUCUUUCCAGGAAUUCUCUGUAUGGAUACAGUCUUUGAGCUUUAGUGAACGUUCAUAUACGCUGUAGGAGAACAUGUAAUGGCUCAGAAAUGUGUUCAGCAUAAAUUCUGUUUGUCUUUGCGGUCCUGUGAGACUGCUGAAAGUUCUGCUCAGCUUCUCUGCUUCUUAGCAUUUGGUUUCUUCUCAGCUUCUCAGUCUCUCCGUUUAGCUCUUUAUGAAUUGGCAAAUUCAUGGAAAAGAGCACAUAGAAUGUCAGGCCCCUGCUCCAUUCAUUUCUCUUCACCCUGAGAUCUUGAUCCCUCAAGUUCUGGCUUCCUGGAUAGCUCUUUCGUGCCUUCUAACAGAUUUUUAUUUUCUUUGAACAAUUCUACCCAGGUUUUCUAAUUGUUUAUGGAGAAGAUUGAUCUUCACAAGCUAGUUUUUUCAUAGGCAAAAGCAAAAGUCUCUUCCUGUGUUAUUAAGUGAAAAUGGCUGAUUAUAAAAAGGGGCUUACAAACAAUAUUUAACAAAUCUUCAUCAAGUCCCUACUCUGUGGCAGGCCCUGGGUCAGGAGGUUGCCGAUUCCAGGAAGAAUCAGACCUUAUCCCUGCCCUUGAGUCUCAAGAAGAGGAAAGGAAAACAAAUAAGCAUAGUACAGUGUGAAAAGUGGGACUGUGGUCAAAUUUCAGUCUGCAAACUCAGAAUGGAUGAAAUAUGAAAGACUGACAACAUCAAGUUGUCAAGUAGGACAGGAUGUGGAACCACUGGAACUCAUACGUGACUGAUGGGAAUGCAAAAUGAUACCGAUCCCUUGGAAAACUCCUUGGCAACUUUAAUAAACAUAAAUCUACCCUAUGAUCCAGAAAUUCCACUCUGAGUCACGUCUCCAAGAGCAAUGAAAAUAUAUACCCACAAAAGACUGCACAUAAAUCAGAACAGCAUUGUUGAUAAUAGCCCAAACUGGAAACAACCUAAAUAUUCACCAAUAGAAGCCUGAAUAAAUUCAUACUGUGGGAUACUCUACAGCAAUGAGGUAGAUGAACUAUUACUGCCUACAACAACAUGAAAGAAAGUAAAAGUCACUACUUUGAUAAUUAUAAACACAAAAAAGUAAACAUAUCAUUCUAUUCAUAUGAAGAGUUAUCUAAAUAAUUAGUAAAAUUGAUCUAUGAUUUUAGAAGUGGUACCUCUGGAGGAGAAGGAGGGGUACUGUUACUGACUGAGAAGGGAGUUCUGGAAAAAUUCUAUACUUUGAUCUUUGGGAUGGUUACACAGAUGUAUAGACAGGCAAAAAUUCAUUGAACUUUACAUUUAUUAUUUGUACAUUUUACCAUAUGCAAAUUGUCCCUCAAUUUAAAAAAUCUCAUUUUCCUUAAAAAAACACAGAGGCAAACAUUUCAAAAACAAUAUCUCACCUUAGAUGAGAU
rnacentral:lncRNA from 1 species